UGCAUUGCAGAAUUAUGUUUAUUACAAAAAAGAUGUUGAUUGAGUGUGAUGAUGUCAAGAAAAAGAAAGUUGAUGAGUGCGACUGUGACGAACACAGCUAGGGUUUCUCCGUCUUAAGGAAAUCAGCAGAUCCAUGACCGUAAUAUGCCGAAUCUGGUGAGGGCUUCUUCGUCGGGUCAGUUGAGGAGGUCUAACAAGCCUUGAUGGGGGGUAGUGGAGUCAUCUACUGAGAGUUCUUCCUCUCCAGUAGGAGAGAGACUGAUGGAGAAUACUAGAUCAUAGUCCCAGCUGGUUCUCGGGCCAAGAAAAUUUCAAUGGGAGACCUCACGCACCAUGAAAGCUAAGGUCGAAUUUUUGGAAUAGUGGUUUAACUGUGUGGUUUAGUUCUCCAAAGAGGAGCUUCAGCGAUUAUCUGAGUGACUGGGUUGGGCGUUGAUCAAUAAGUUUUUAGGGUAGGCGGCCGGAUACCUGACUAUAUCUUGCUUGCUCAAGAAGUUAUGCAUUCUCUUGUCAAGGCCUCUAUGUCGUGGAGUCUUAUGAUAUUGAAACUAGAUAUGGAAAAGCUUAUGACAAGGUUCAUUGGUCUUUUUUAAUUCAGUUCUCCUGCUGCUUCUCGGAUUCAUUAGCACAUUACGAGGAUAUUGCAAUUUCUGAAAAGAGGUCCAUUUGGACUUACCUUGGUGUGCCGUUGUGUGGGUGAUUGGCAGAAUCAUUUGGUUUGGACUUUUUCGAAGCUUAUGAAUGUAUCUUUGAAUGAUAUGUGAUAGUUAAGUGCACCUAUAGCCUUGCCUCAGCUAUUGGUAAAUUUUGGUUGGAUUUGGAAAAAUUCCUUUCGGGUUAAAACGUUUCUCUAGAGACUUGCUUGGGAACAUUUGCCGUGUAAGACGAUCCUUGUCUAUUGUCACAUUAUCCCUUUAUAAGAACAAUAUUGUGAUUUAUGUCCUCAAAUUGUGGAAGGCUACGCUCAUACUAUUAUACAUUGUGAAUUUGCUUUGGCUUGUUGGGAGCAACUCAUUCAUAUGUAUCAACUGUCUUGCUGUUCGAAUUCUCUUCCUGAUUUGUUUUAACACCUAUCAGUACCUGCUGCUGAGAAUGGAUAGAAAACAAUUAUGGUAUAUGCAACAUGUUGCUUAUGGCAAGUUUGUAAUGACGCGAUUUUUAAUCAUAAAAACUAUACUUAUUUUCAGCUUCUCUCAUGAUUAGCAGUUUUUCUAUCAUUUAAUAGCUAUAUUGAUGUACAUAUUAUUCAUACUCUUUUUUGGCACUUGUUGGGAUUUGGUGCAUCAAAUUCAAUCUACAGAGAAAAACUCAAGGCGGAGAAGUCUAGUGGACUAGGAUAGUAGAUGCAGCACGCAGUACAUGUAGCCCGCAGGCGUGCGCAGACCCGCGGGAGUGCACGGCCUAGUGCGGUCGCAUGGACAUGCACGACCCAGGCUGUUCGUAUGACACAGUCCACCAUGGACCAUGGGAGGAGACAUGGUCCACGCAUCCACCGUGGAUCGCCGCGGUCUAGAAAGCAAAAAUCAUGGUGUUUGGUGAGCAUGGGUGUGCACAAGCAAUGUGGCGUGCGCGAAGAGGUUCCAGUUCAUGCCAAGGGAGGUUCACGAUCGGUCUAUAGGAGGUUUUGCAUGAUCAAGCGGCGUACAGGCCUUGCGGCUUAGAUCCAAUGGUUAGAAAGGUUGUUGAAUCCUUUUAAAAGUAGGAUUUUGAUCCAGAUUAGGUUUUAGGCCUAUAAAAGCAGGUGCAUGGAUCUGAGAACAUGGUGUAGUGGCUGAGAGCAUUUGAAAGGCAGAGAUUUGGAGCAGCAGGAAGCAUCCAGAGCAUCAGAGGAUCCUGGUACAGUAGGCCUGUGAGAGUUUUCUUUAGGAUUUCUUUUAGAGCUUUUGUAAAGGAUAAGAGGUAAGUGCUUCUUGUUGAAAGAGAGGAUUUGUAUAUGAGAGUUAAGAGUAUGUGAUCUCCUCUUAUAUUUAUUUUCUUUCAUAGUGAAGUUUUGCUUACCCUAUGGAGAUAAGCCUUGGGUUGAUCCACGUAUUCUAUUGUGUCUCUUUUAUUUCUUCUUUUUUUCUACUGCAACAAGUGAUACCGGAUCUUCAAUAAUUGGUAUUAGAGCCAGGUGGUAACAGAGUGUGCGGUUGUUCAGAUUAUAGCAGUGUUGAUCAAGAUUGAAGAAGAUGGAGAAGAUAGGUCAAUCAAGAUGAACAUCAAUCGAUUCGAUGAAAAGAAUAAUUUCUCCCUAUAGCAAGCGAGGAUGAAAGAUAUGCUCAUCCAAUAAGGGUUGAUCGAUGUUCUCUUGUGCAAGGAGAAGCUAACUACCAUGGAGGUGAAGGAUUAGAGGUGGCUCCAUAAGCAGACGAUGAGAACGAUCUGCUUGUACUUGAUAGAUGAUGUAGUGAUCCAUAUGCAUGGUGACUUUCUCGACGUUGAUGUAGACAAAGCUUAAAGAGAUGUAUAUAGCGAAGUCACUCACCAACAUUCUCUUCUUCUGAAAGCAGUUCUACCAGCUGCGGAUGAGCGAGGGACAGAGCAUACAGGAGCAUCUCAGUAACUUUCAGAAGAUUCUCACCGAUCUUCUCAGCAUUGGUAAGAAGGUUGAGGAGAAAACUAAGGUGUUGGUCUUGCUUGCAUCAUUUUUUCUUCUUUUAAGUCUUUGGUGACUGCUUUUCUAGUAGAAAAGUGCACAUUUAAGAUGGAUGAGGUUACUACGGUACUUCUCCAAAAUGAGUUCUUACAUGGGAGAACCAAGCUUCGAGUUCAGGUGGUGACUUGCUUUGGUGGUGACUGUAAGAGGUGGUGGCAUAAGACGAAGGGGCAAAAAAUUACAAAGUGGGUGGUCCAAGUCUAAGAUGAGAGACUCGAGUAAGAUCAGGUGCUACCGGUGCGAUGAGUUGGGACAUCGAGUCAGAGAUUGUUUGCAGCUCAGAGAUCAGACAAAGAUUACUACAGUGAUGGCAGGCUACUACAGUGAUGGCAGGUAGUAAUACAGAAGAUAAUGAUAAUGUUCUUUUACUGACUGAUGAGGUAUCUACUUCUUUCCUCCAGUAGAUUUUAGAUUCUAGUUGUUCGCAUCAUGUGUGUUGUAGAGAGAAGCUGUUUGACUCCUUAAAGAACAGUGAGGAUACUGUUCACUUAUCAGAUAGAUCGAGCUGUGAGAUCAAGGAUAGUGGGACGGUCAGCUUACUGACAUAUGAUGGAGCAGUGAGGAAGUUGGAUGAGAUCCGAUAUAUAUCCAGCUUCAGAAGUAAUCUAAUUUCACUGAGCAGAUUGGAUUCAAGCGACUACAGGUGGAGAGCUGAUGCUGGAAUUCUGAAGGUCAUACACGACAGUAGGAUUUUGAUGAAGGGAAGAAAGUAUGAAGGAUAAUAUCUCUUGGUAGAAAGCUUAGCAUGAGGUGGAGCUUUUGGAGCCAGUGGGAUCUCAGUGCAAGGUAGAGCUCCAAGAGCAGGCGGAUUGGACAUGAGACGGGAGACUUGUGAGGAUGACAAGCGAUGUCGUAAGAUGAAGUUUUUAUUGCCGCAGAAGGCUAUUUUGAGCAAGUCUCAUGUCAGACGGAUUAUAGCACACGACGGAGAUAGGAUCGAGUGGUCUGGCUCGACUCUCAUAUUUGUCUAUCUAUGAGCAGUCAGGCAUUUAUCCCAGGACAUGAGGGCGAGAUCAUCUAGAAGCUCUCAGAGUUAGGUGGAGGCUGAAUGUCGAGUCGAGGUGGAGAUUAUUGAGAUUUGAUGCCUAAAAUUCAAUCUACAAAGAAAAACUUAAGGUGGAGAAGCCUAGCAGACUAGGACAGUAGAUGCAGCACAUCGCACGAUGCAGAGGCUCAGAGAUACAGCACACGUAGGCUCACAGUAGGGUGUGACCCGCAAGCAUGCACAGACCCGUGGGAUGCGAUAGCCUAGGAGUGGGUGCAUGGAUGCAUGGCCCAGGCCAUUCGUGUGAUGCGGUCCACCAUGGACCACGGGAGGAGACACGGUCCACGCAUUUGCCGUGGACCGUUGCGGUCUAGAAAGCAAAAAUCAUGGCAUUUGGUGAGCAUUGGCAUGUGCUGGCGAUGUGGCGCACGCGGAGAGGUUCUGGUUCAUGUCAAGGGAGGUUCACGUGUGGUCCAUAGGAGGUUUUGCACGAUCAAGCGGGGUACAGACCUUGUGGGUUAGAUCCAAUGGUCAUAAAGAUUGUUGAAUCCUUUUGAAAGCAGGAUUUCGAUCUAGAUUGGGUUUUGGACCUAUAAAAGUGGAUGCACAGAUCUGAGAACAAGAUGUAGCGGUUGAGAACACUCGAGCGAUAGAGACUUAGAGUAGCAGAAAGCAUCAAGGGUAGCAGAGGAUCCUAGUACGGCAGGCCUGUGAGAGUCUUCUUUGGGAUUUCUUUAAGAGCUUUUGUAAGGGGUGAGAGGUGAGUGUUUCUUGUUGAGAGAGUGUUUGCAUAUGAGAGUUGAGAGUAUGUGAUCUCUUUUGGUAUUUGUUUUCUUUCAUAGUGAAGCUUUGCAUGCCCAGUGAAGGUAAGUCAUGAGCUGAUCCACGUAUUUGAUUAUGUUUUUUUUAUUUCUUCUUUCUUUCUGCUGCAACAAGUGGUACCAGAUCUCCAACAGCACUGAGGCACUUCCUCACAGCAUGGGCUAUUCUUUAAACAAAGUCAGUUGGUGUCUUGGCUACUCUCUCCCGAUGGAGUUGUUAAGAUCAAUUUUGAUGCAUCGGUCAUGAAUGACAAAGUAGUUGCAGGAUAUGUUAUUAGGGAUCAUAAUGCGGUCAUGCUGUGGGUGAGAGAUAAGUUGUUGCAAUCAAUUUUCAUUCCUUAUGUAGAGUUAACUGCAACUUGGCUUGGUGCAAGGGUUGAAGUGCAAUAGUUCCAAGCCACUCAUAUAUUAUUAGGUCACUCGGUCACAGUAAUUUCAUGGCUUACUAAUUGCUCUACACAUAAAUAUGUCAUAUUCCUUUAUCGCAAGAUUUAUGGAUAUGGAAAGGAUCCGCUAUCCCUUUUCAAAUUACUCAUACUUUUCGGGAGGCUAAUCAAUUAAGUGGUGGAUUAUAUGGCUAAUAAGGUUUUAGAGGGUGAUUUUUCAUAGACUAUGGACUCUAUGGUUGACCAUCAAUACAAGUAUUUUCUUCAGGCGGACAGUUAUAGAGUUUGAUUUUGUAGAUAACUGCUUGUUAUCUCAUAUAUUGUUUUUGUAUUAUAGAAUAUGCAGCCAAUAUGUUGUCUACUUAGCUGAUUGGCAACUGUCCAUCCAUGAUUAUGCUACCUCAGUUUCUCCAUGUUUGUCGGUGUUUUGGGAUCUUAAAGAACAACUGAAUUAUAUGGUAUGACGAUGGUUGCCUUGGUUGGCCUAUUUAACCUGCUUUGCAUAUAACUUUCCAAUAUAUUCUUUGUUAGCUGCCAUGUAUUACAUGUUCAUCUUUAUACUCAUUGUUAUGUAACUGUUAUCAUAAAUCAAGAGACCUCUAUUUUCACUUUGCAUUCCAUUUGUAUUGUUUAUGCAGCAUUUUAUAAAUUUGCUAGACUGGUUGAUGAUUGGUCCAACAUCCAUAUACAAAAACAGCCUCAAUGUGAUUGUGGCCAUUUGCAGGACAUAAAGUUCACAAGGAAGAUGGUUUAAUAUUCUUGCAAAGCUGGGAACCAAAAGAUACUUAGUCUUAUCGCAAAAAGAUAAAAAAAGGGUUGUGGUGAGAAGAUAGCUAAGAGAGAGAGUGAAGAUAAGAGGGUGCAGCUGAUAAAAAGAGGGUCGCAUGUAGCAGAAGAAUCUGAGAUUUUUACAGUGCCUUUUUUGGGAAAAGAGAGAUUUCAAGGGUGGGGGGUUUGAUAUAUCUAAAUGGUUUAUUUGUUUUAUUGUACAGUUUCAGUGUUCCUUGUCUAUUUGCUGAAUCAUUGUGGGUACUAAAACAUGUUAACUGCUCCUUGGCUGAUGAUGGCAUCUAUUCUGAUGACAUUGAGCCGCUUAAGGGAAUGUUUUUUAAGCUGGGAAGUAAUUAUACUAUAUUGGGAAUGGGUACUCAAGCUCUACCAAUUGUACUUUAACUGACAACUAGGGCUUUCAUUCAAAUUGUAGAAGACAUUGGCGGAGAUGUCUCAGUUACUUAUAAUAUAAAGGAACAUCCUGGACUAACCAAGAUUCAGAAUGUGCAACAUAGACCGCAACUAAGAAAUUAUUCUAAUGAUGCUGCUAGUUGUUUCAAUCAUUGGUCAGUCAUCUUGUAUUGGGAUACUUCCCUGCAUUUGGUUCUAGGUGUUGUACUUCAACACUGGAUGGAAUGCUGCAUCACGGCUACUGAAAAUAAAUGAAGGUUACAAGAUACUCGGAGAAUGAAAUACUAGUAGUUCAGUUAGAAAAGAAGGAAUUACUUAUCAUGACAAAAAGAAACAAUGAGGAAAAAAAGAAAAGAAUAAAAAAAGAAUAAAAGGAAGGAAAAAUGGAUAAAAAGAAAAAAACAAAAGAUCAAAGAGUAAAAGAAAAUUGAGGAGGAAAGAGGUGGGUUAUAUCUAACUAUUUUUUUUGUUUUUAUCUUGUAGGUAUUAGCUACUUCGCAGCCCAAUAGUUAUUCUAAUUAUUGGUGUAGCAUGGUCCUGCUUUUUCUAUAUACAUUGGUAUUGCCUUCCAAUGUUGACGGAUACAUUUUAAUGUUUGCUAUAUACUCAUAUAAUUGGUUCAGUUGGAACUUAUUCACCACACCGUUUUCUUUUAGAUGUUCUCUAUUUUCAGCUGUGCAACCUGUACAUGCUACUGGCUUACAAACUUAGUGCUGUAAUGCUGAUUGAUCCUUCAAUUUUUUAGUCUGCCCUUCAGUUCUUUACUUUUUGGAGCACAGGAUGGUUAUGCGAAGGCAACUUUAUGUACUUUAUUGGCUUGUUGUACUACUUCACGUUUCUUCUCUUCCCAUUUUUGGGUUUGAAUCUGUUUACCCGUAUUAUGUUGUAAUAGGGAGUUUUGCUUUUGUACAGUUUCAUCCAUUUCAUGUCUUACUAUGGGGUUCUUUUGUUGUUGUUUGGGCGAAACAGCUGUCUAUGGCCCACUGUUUUGGUUUGUUCUUGUAUAUUCCUCAGACUUCUUAUUAAUAUACUUUGAUUUUCUACCAAAGAAAAAAAAAAAA